AUUGAACGCUGGCGGCAGGCCUAACACAUGCAAGUCGAACGGUAACAGGAAGAAGCUUGCUUCUUUGCUGACGAGUGGCGGACGGGUGAGUAAUGUCUGGGAAACUGCCUGAUGGAGGGGGAUAACUACUGGAAACGGUAGCUAAUACCGCAUAACGUCGCAAGACCAAAGAGGGGGACCUUCGGGCCUCUUGCCAUCGGAUGUGCCCAGAUGGGAUUGGCUAGUAGGUGGGGUAACGGCUCACCUAGGCGACGAUCCCUAGCUGGUCUGAGGGGAUGACCAGCCACACUGGAACUGAGACACGGUCCAGACUCCUACGGGAGGCAGCAGUGGGGAAUAUUGCACAAUGGGCGCAAGCCUGAUGCAGCCAUGCCGUGUGUAUGAAGAAGGCCUUCGGGUUGUAAAGUACUUUCAGCGGGGAGGAAGGGAGUAAAGUUAAUACCCUUGCUCAUUGACGUUACCCGCAGAAGAAGCACCGGCUAACUCCGUG
rnacentral:rRNA from 1 species